GGAAUAUUGGACAAUGGCCGAGAGGCUGAUCCAGCCAUGCCGCGUGCGGGAGGACGGCCCUAUGGGUUGUAAACUGCUUUUAUAUAGGGAUAAAGUCGGGGACGUGUCCCCGUUUGUAGGUACUAUAUGAAUAAGGACCGGCUAAUUCCGUGCCAGCAGCCGCGGUAAUACGGAAGGUCCAGGCGUUAUCCGGAUUUAUUGGGUUUAAAGGGAGCGCAGGCUGAUUAUUAAGCGUGACGUGAAAUGUAGCCGCUCAACGGCUGAACUGCGUCGCGAACUGGUAGUCUUGAGUGAGUUCGAUGUUGGCGGAAUUCGUGGUGUAGCGGUGAAAUGCUUAGAUAUCACGAAGAACUCCGAUUGCGAAGGCAGCCAACAAGGCCUUUACUGACGCUAAAGCUCGAAGGUGCGGGUAUCGAACA
rnacentral:rRNA from 1 species